UCUUGUAAGAUCAUGUGUAAACGCCUUUAUAUAUAUUACGAUUUAUAUUUCAUUUCAUAUAAGUUGUAACACUGCAUUACAUGUGAACUGUUAUAUAAGCCUGUUAUACGUUAUAUCAUAACACGAUAAGUCAUAUAAGAUGUGAAUAAAAGAUAAUUUUACUUAAUAUCACGUUUAAAGUUAGUGUUUUUUUACCUCUGUGUUUGAUGAUGUUGAAGAAUUUUGUUAAAAAAUGAAAAUCCUCAUCAUGCUCCUUCUAUCAGCGUCAGUACACUGCUAUCACCGUGACUACGGACCAAUCUUCGGUCCCUUCAACCCGACAUACACAGAACUGGCCACAGAAUGCACAGAGACUGACACUCACUCCUGCUUAGUCAUCCCCACGAAGAAGAUUUGUAGGGAGAAGCUGCAGUUACCACUGAACCCUUAUGUACCACUGCCCUGGUGGUAUUUCUACUGCCAAUGGCUGGUGACGUUACCACCACCGCCAACAACGAAGACUAGUACGGUGCACCCUUUUUAUAGGAAGACUUUAGAUGAAGUGUUGGAGUAUAAGAAACGUUUGAAGAAUAGGAAUAAUUUGUUUGAAUAUAAAUGAGAAAGUGAAAUGUUUAUUUCCACAUUA